rnacentral:rRNA from 1 species
GGCUCACAACGAACGCUGGCGUCGUGCCUAACACAUGCAAGUCGAACGGAGGCUGCGAGGGAGCUUGCUUUCUUGCGGACUUAGUGGCGGACGGGUGAGUAACACGUGGAUAACCUACCUGUAAGACCGGGAUAACAGCUGGAAACCGGUGCUAAUACCGGAUGAGCUAUUUGGGGGGCAUCCUCUGGAUAGGAAAGGAGGGAUCCGCUUACAGAUGGGUCCGCGGCCCAUUACCCAGCUGGUGGGGUAACGGCCUACCAGGGCGACGAUGGGUAGCCGGCCUGACAGGGUGGUCGGUCACUCUGGGACUGAGACACGGCCCACACUCCUACGGGAGGCAGCACUGGG